CUCUAACUUUAAAUGUCUGAAUCAUUUCCACGCAAACUUUGGCCCAAACUAACAGAACAGAGCCUCCAGUUUAAUCCUCCGGAACCAAAGUUUACGAACCGAAGUUCCGCCAGCCGGACCCGGACUCCAGAGGACCCGGGUCGAGGCUCCGCAGCCGAACCGGAGCCGCCGGAACACCGUGUGCAGGAAAACAACUCGCCGCCAGAACCACACAACUCCCGCACAACUACCACACAACUGCUGCACAAAGUUCCAGAACACAAACGGGUUCUGCCGCAGAACGGAGCCGAAGUUCGGAGCCUCCGGGAGCCGCAGCGGCAGCAGCCAGACGGUGAAGCCGGACCGAGGCGCUGCCGGGCGGCCGCAGGCUGCAGACAAACACCGUUAAACUCGUUUCCUGAUCCUGGAUGAACUUUACGUGGAUCCUGCAGACUGAACCGGCUUCAUGACCAGAACCAGACCUCCAGUUUCCAUUUAUACUGAAUGUUCGGAACACAGGGGGUCCUCAACUUACGUCGGAAUUUCGUUCCGACUUUUCGCCAACUUAGCUGACGCCGGUUCAGUUCCAUAGCUCUGAGCUUAACCCGUCCAGAUAUCAGAAGAAGACAUCUGAAGUCAGACUGAAGACGAACCGGUUGAAGCUGCUGCUGUUCGAUCUGUCACUGGAACCAGAACCUGAGCAGGUGAAUAAAUAUCAUCAGAGUUUAGCAGCAGAACAUUCCUGCAGGAACGAUGCUGAGUUCUGCUGUUUGUGGUCACCUCAGGUCCAUG
ensembl:lncRNA